rnacentral:lncRNA from 1 species
AUUAAAGAGAAAAAAAGAUUAUAACUAUUGUGAAAUUAUGGGUGAAUUCCCAAAUUACAGUAUUAAUGGAUUGUUUUGUCAUACCACAACAUCUAAGUCUAAAUCUAGAUAGAUUCCAAUAUCAAAGUGUGAACUCCACUUUAGAAGCGUUUGGGGCAGCUAGGCUGCCACUGCGCAGCUGCUCCCCAUGCCUAUUCUAGAGAAUAUUUCCUUAAAAUAUGGCAUGUGAAGCAGCUGCACGGUAGCAGCGCAGCUGCCCCAAAAGGACUAUUUGUAUAUUAUAUUGUUUUAUUGGAGUAGCAAGGGAUAUAAAUAGGAAGAGAGGUGUAAACUUCUAAUUAUCUGCUGCACCUCUCAUUUCCAUUACUCUGUCUCUUCAAUCUCAUCAUCAAUUUACUCUCUUUCAAGUUUUUAAUCACUUCUCUUAUUAGAUAUAUAAUUGUCUUUUUGUUAGCUGAUAUGUAAAUUCAUAACAAUAACUACAUUAUUAAAAAGAAAAUAAAGGGAUAGUUAAAUUUGGUAACGUAAGUUAUAGGAAAUGGGAUUGAGUAAUUAGUAUUACAUCUUCUGAAUUAGUAAGUAAUAUAUUUAUGAAAUUUGAGCAAUUUAUGUUUCAACUUUGUUAUAUACAUAUAUACACACACACACAUAUAUCCAUUUUGAUAGUUGGUUUUAAGAGAAAUCUAAGUACAUAAGAAUCCCUAAAUACCCCAACAAAUCUGUGAAUGAACUCGGAUCUGAGUAGAUUAUUAGAAUUACUAUUAUAUAUUCUAUGAAUCACUUAUGCUCGAUAGCUUGGUUUGGUAACAUAUUAUGAUUAUUCAUGUAUGAUAUAGAUGUAUCAAUGGAUCUUAAAACCAAACCAAAUUGCAAGAUGAGUAGAAAGAUCUAAUUUACCAAUUUCUUAAAUUCAACAAGCUACAAUUGCAGUUUUGUGCUAAUUUUAUGACGUUUCAGUUUAAGACUUACAAAACUGGAAAACAAACCGUUACAUUGUGGCUCAUAAAAUCUACAUCCACAGCCCCGCAGAACUUGCAUCCUUGCAGCUAAACCUGACACCUCAAGUUCAAGGAUGACGCUAGUCAAUGAACAAUUCACAUCUUUGCUGUUGUAAAUACCAAUUACGUAUGGCCUAAUAGACAUAAAUGGCAUAGCAAGAGUGGCUGAAAGGUUGCUAUUAUCCUUUGUCUAGGGGCAGCCAAAGAGUUGCCAUAAAAACACCAGCACUACAGCAGCUGUAUCAAAUUUCCAUACGGUUCACUAGUUAUUAAGAACAUGCCCAAAAUUUAAGCGAAAGUGCAACAAAAAUCCCAUCAAAACAGAAUUCACAUGCAUAGUUCGUACAAAAUCCUGUCCACGUCAUAAUGGCAUCUCAAAUAAUUAGACAAAUCAAAGCGCAAGACGGAACCCAAAAAGUUUUAAAUAAUCAAAACGGUGAACAAGAAGAGAAAAAAGUAAGGGCUAUGCAUAAAGUAAAGAAAAAACCAAUUAAGAGAAAGCAGUGGGAGUGGUGAACAAAAAAGAAAAAAAAAGGUGGAACCAGCAAAUUAGUAGCAUCAGAUGUUCAAACAAUCCUAAUAGUUUCCGAAAACAUGCCAAAAUAGUUUAAAAUAAAACCACUUUCAUGGCUGAUGUUCAUAUAUCUCUACAACGAGGAGAGGCCAUAAAUGCCAGGAUUUUGUUCAAGUCUCUCUAGUUUCCAAAAGCAUAAAUCAAAUACUGAAGAAGAUGACACUGGAAAAAAAUACUGAGAAGGAUAAGUCAAGAAAAAAUACCGAGAAGGGAUUUUCCUUUUUUCUCUUUUCAUUCCUUUCAAUGACCUGUUGUGAGAGGAAAAGGGAUUUCCGAAACACAAUAUCAUAAACCUUCUCAGUCCACAUAUGAAAAGAAAUGAAAUUAGCUAACACAGCACAAUCAUCAACUCAAUGAGCAGAGAAGUAGAAGAAAGAAAAAUAAUCCAAUAAGAACGAGUUUGAAGCAAAUGACCUAAUGAGCAGAACAAUGUGAAACAACAAGGAAAAAGGAGAGUUUAACUGUUUGAGCUCAAAAGCCCUCAUCCAAGACACGAAAAGUAUGCCAACAAAUCACUGCAAAAAAUUAUCCCAAUGGUUGAUGGAGAUGCAAAUUACUGUGACAACUCCUCAUCAUUGCCAAUUUUCCCAUAAAAGGAGAUUAACUGAAAAGCCUAAAUGAAUUUAAAGCAAAUGGAAGUUGAAAAUUCAAAAUAACAGCUCCUUAUCAUUGCCAGCUUUCCCAUUGAAAACAACAUUUUAUCAUAAUGAACCCAUUGUUCAUCAUCACUACGAGCUCAAACCAACAAGCAAGCAAGAGCACUGUUCACUAAUUGUGAAGACAUGCACAAAGAAGUUACAGACAAGCACUUGAGAGUACUAUCGACCAUAUUAGAGAAUUCAAAAUUCCAUAUAAUGUGCCUUUAACAUAUUUCAUCAGUAGGCAAAAUUACUUUCGUAGCAAUGUCAAAUUCCAAAAAUCAACAACAAUCAUCGCCAAGCUAAUUAGGCCAAGUAGCAAAAGCAUGAAUUGAAUAUUGAAAAUAGUGCUUAUUAAUGCUGAGAGAACCGCGAGAGAAACAACAUACAACUCUCAGCAUUCUAGUUUAAAAAAAAAAAAGAAUUAAAAGGGAAAACACCGGUAUGAAAGGAAAAAAAAAAAGUGAGAUACUCCUCUCCUCCUCUCCCUCGCUUCCUCACGAGCUCACUCCUUCCCUCUCUCGCAGAUUACUGCUCGUUGCUCCUCGACUCCCUCGCAGAUCUCCAAAUUCAACUCGGGUGCUUCUCUCCAUCUCCAAACUGAAGUCCGGCCUCUCUCUCCAUUUCCCUCUCUUCGUCUCCAAACUGAAGUCUGGCCACUCUCUCCAUCUCCCUCUCUAAAGUAAGUCGCUGCCGUUUCUCUUCUACCGUUUGAUAUAUGUUGGUAAUUAUUUGGUAGUUAUUUUGUUGGUAAUUAUUUGGUGAAAAAUACCGGAUAAUAUAUGUAUUACCCAUGUUGAAAAAAAAAAAUCAUUGUAUUCUACUUGCUUUUUCUGGAAGUACUUUAGAAUUGUCAUAGCAUCUCCUUCUACAAUCUUUUUCUAGAACUGAGACAUUUUUAUAUUCAUCAGCUUCAACAAUAAUAGAAUUAAAAUUUCAAGCAAUGUUAAUUUCCGCACAAUCAUUCAUUUCAAUAUGCUUUCUUGCCCUAAUGUUACGGACUCAACCAGUUUUCACAAUAGGUUUCAGCACAUCAGUAGAUUUACUUUCUGACUUACCACUGCGACCACAUGCAAACAUUGCGUAUUUUAUAAUUUUAUCACUCCUUUUUUUACUAGUUAACUUCUUUACAGGAACCCUUUCUUGUUUACCAUAGGCAUUGUAAAAUUGCCACAUGUCCUCAUGACUAUCGAAUAACAUCCCAAGAGUCGGCUCAUAUUUUUCCGAUUGCACAUCUUCGACCCUACCUUCAUUUUCCAAAUUUUUCAUUUCUACAAAAUAAUUAUUAUUUCUAAAAAUUUAAAUUUAAAUUCUAAAUGGAACCAAUAUUUAAAUAAUUCUAAAUCAAACACAUAAUUUAAAUAAAAAGAUUUCUAAAUCAACACAAAAUUUAAAUUAGUAAAAAUUCUAAAUCCAACACAAAAUUUAAAUUUAAAAAAAUUCUAAACCUAACAUAGAAUUUAAAUUAAAAAAAUUUCUAAAUCCAACACAAAAUUAAAAUUAAGAAAAUUUCUAAAUCAAACACAUUUAUCAUUUAACUAGUAAAUGCAGGCACAUUUAUAUUAUUAUGAUAUAUAACAAAAAAAUAAUAUUCAAAAUAAAAAAUCACUCUUUAUAUUCAGGUAAUUUACCAACUAGGUAUUUUGUUUCCAGAUCUAGAUCGGGUAGCACUUCCGCGUUUGUGUAGAUUCAAAUCGGCUACUAAAUGGCAACUAUAGUAAGCAAAAAAUUUAAAUGGCGACCAGAGUAAUGCUUGUGAUAAGCAAUGAAUAAGCGAAUCGGUAAUGCUUGUGAUGAGAAGCACUACUCGUGAUGAGAAGUAAAGCGUGAAAGUGUUUUCGUUUCAUGUGGGGAAGAGAAAAAAUACUUUGUGAUGAGCAAAAGUGGUUUGUGAUAGAGCAAAAGCGUAAUGAAAAGUAAAGAGAAUAAUAAUAUAUUAUUCAAAGCUGAAAUUUUACAUGGGGAGGGGGAGGGGGAGAACACCCAAAACGGCAGCUUAAAACACUCGAAAGGCUGCUUUGUGCUGCCGUUUCAUCACGAGUAGUAAUGAUAUAUUAUUAUUACUUUUUCUCUCCCUUUACGUGAAAUGACAGCUUUAAAUAAUAUAUUAUUAUUCUCUUUACUUCUCAUCACGUUUUUACUCUAUCACAAACCAUUUUUCCUCUCCCCCACCUAAAACGAAAACACUUUUGCUCAUCACAAAGCAGCCUUCACGCUUUACUUCUCAUUUCAAGCAUUACCGAUUCGCUCAUUCAUCGCUCAUCACAAGCAUUACUCUGGUCGUCAUUCAUCCACAAGCAUUCAAAUUUUUUGCUUACUCUAGUCGCCAUUCAGCUCAACUCGUGGCCGAUCUAAAUCUACACAAACGCGAAAGCGUUGCCCGAUCUAAAUCUGGAAGCAAAACACCUAACUGGUUAUAAAGAGUGAUUUGUUAUUUUGAAUAUUAUUUUUUGUUAUAUUAUACUAAAAUGAUAAAUGUGUUUGAUUUUAAAAAAAAAUUAAUUUAAAUUUUGUGUUGGAUUUAGAAUUUUUACUAAUUUAAAUUAUGUGUUCGAUUUAGAAAUCUUUUUAUUUAAAUUUUGUGUUCGAUUUAGAAUUUUUUUAAUUUAAAUUUUUAGAAAUUUAAUGGAUUAAAUUAUUGUUGCAUCAAAAUUUUGUAAAAAUUUAUAAUAAUUUAUUCUUAAUACGAAUAUUAAUUAUUUUGUAGAAAUGAAAAAUUUAGAAAAUGAAGGUAGAGUCGAAGAUGUGCAAUCGGAAAAAUAUGAGCCGACUUUUGAUAUGUUAUUUGAUAGUCAUGAGGAAAUGUGACAAUUUUAUAAAGCCUAUGAUAAACAAUAAGGGUUUCUUGUGAAGAAACUAACAAAUAAGAAAGAGAGUGAUGAAAUUGUAAGAUAUGCGACGUUUGCAUGUGGCCGUAAUGACAAGUCAGAAAGUAGAUCUACUGAUGUGCUGAAACCGAAACCUAUUGUGAAAAUUGAUUGUGAUGCUACAAUUGGAGGUUGUGUUAAAUGAAGAUGGAAAAUGAGUUCUUCAAACUUUAAACAUUCAACACAAUCAUGGAUUGAGUCCGUAAUGUUAGUGCAAGUGCAAAAAAGCGUAUUGAAAUGAAUGAUUGUGCGAGAAUUAACAUUUUUCGAAAUUUUAAUUCUAUUGUUGUUGAAGCUGGUGGAUAUGAAAAUGUCUCAUUUCUAGAAGGAGAUGCUAUGACAAUUCUAAAGUACUUCCAGAAAUAAGUAAGCAUUGUUUUCAACAUAGUUUUUCAACAUGUGUAAUACAUAUAUCAAUCGGUAAUUAUCACCAAAUAAUUACCAACAAAAUAAUUACCAAAAAAAUACCACCAAAAUAAUUACAAAUAUAUACCAAACAAUAAAAGAGAAACGACAGCAACUUACUUUGGGGAGGGAGAGAAGCGCCCGAGUUGAAUUUGGAGAUCUACGAGGGGGACGAGGAGCAGCGAGCAGAGAGCAGUAAUCUGCGAGCGAGGGAGAGAGGGAAGGAGUGAGCUCAUGAGGAAGUGAGGGAGAGGAGGAGAGGAGUAGAUCUCACUUUUUUUGUUCUUUUAUACCGGCGUUUUCCCUUUUAAUUCUUUUGUUUUUUGUUUUAACUAGAAUGCUGAGAGCUGCUAAUGGGAGAAACAAUAUUAAUUAUGUAUGCCAUUUCUCUCGAGGUUCUCUCAGCAUUCUAGUUAAUAAGCACUACUCCACAAUAACCAAAAGUGACAGAUUCUAUUAUUUUUCAGAAAACAAAGACUUCAAGGACAGCAAAUUUGUUCUUUUCACGGAGAAACCACCAAAAUAAUUACAAACAUAUACCAAACGAUAGAAGAGAAAUGACAGCAACUUACUUUGGAGAGGAAGAGAAGCGCCCGAGUUGAAUUUGAAGUUCUACAAGGUUCUCUCAGCAUUCUACUUAAUAAGCACUACUCCACAAUAACCAAAAGUAACAGAUUCUAUUAUUUCUCAAAAAACAAAGACUUCAAGGACAACAAAUUUGUUCUUUUCAUGGAGAAACCCCCUCCCCCAAAAACAAAAGCAGAAAACCCACAAAACAAGAAGUAAGCACUAGUACUUUUCACUAGCUAUACAAACAUGCCGGAAAAAGGUGAACAUAACAUGUCUCCAAUUAUAUUUCACCAAUAGGCAAAGUACUUCCAAUUUUCAUUUGCCAGCUGCUUGUUUCAUAACUAUUUCAAAUUCUAAAAACAAUUGAAUCCAAGGAACAAUAAAAAUCACCACCGAGCUAAUAACAAUCAGCAGCAUUAGCAGAUGCAGCUGCAGCAGCUCCUCAUCAUUGCCAAUUUUCCCAUUAUAAAUAAAUAUAUAUAUAUACUUUUUAAAUCUAUUUAGCCAUUUCAAAUUCAUCUCUUCUAUUUUUAAUGGGAAAACUGACAAUGAUGAGGAGCUAUUAUUUUCAAUUAACUAUGUUUAUUUAUUUUUAUUUUUUUCAAAAUACGUUUAGCCUUUUCAAAUUCAUCUCCUCUAUUUUUAACGGGAAAACUGACAAUGACGCCGAGCUACUGUUUUCAACUUUCUAUAUAUAUAUAUAUAUAUAAUUGAAAAGAAUAGCUCUUCAGUUUUCCCGUUAAGAAUAAAGGAGAUUAAUUUGAAAAGUCUAAAUAGAUUUAAAAGAAAUAGAAAUAGGAAAUUUAAAAUAUGAGAACCAACAAGCAAGCACUGUUCAUUGUUAAAGAACACAUGCCCAAAGAAGUUAAAAAUAAGCUCUGGAGAAGAUAAUCCUCCAUAAUAGAAUUCAAUGUACAUAUACUGUCAUUCUGUCAACAGAAUGUCCUGCCUCCAACUACAUUUCACCAUUAGGAAAAAGUAGCUUUAUCAUUAUCAUCUAGGGUUGUCUUAGGCACACAGUUCACAGCAGAAGGUGCAGCAAUUUACUAACCAACCAAUUACAGUUUCAAUGAAACCUCUUUUGAACAACAGAAACAAAAAUUAAUUGGAAGUGGCCUGUAGUUCCUCAUCAAGACGGGCUCAAACCAAAAAGUGAGCACUAGUACUUUUCACUAAUUACAGAAACAUGCCCCAAAAAGUUAAAAAUAAGCACUUGAGAGGAUUAUCCAUCAAAAUAGAAUUUGCACCUACAUUUCACCUACAUUUCACCAAUAUCCUGUCUCGAACAACUACAUUUCACCAAUAGGAAAAACUAAAUUCCCAAAACCAUUGAAUCCAAGAAACAACAACAAUCACCACCAAGAUAAUUAGGCCAAAUAGAAGAAGAAUGAACCCAAUACCGAAAAUGAUGAGCACUACCAACUCAAAAAAUUGAAAACAGAAGAUCACAUAUUGCAACUACUAGCUUCAUACCCCCACUUUCGCAUAAUGAAUAAGAAACUGCUUAUUAGCAAACAAUCACGAAACUUUUUUCAAAAAGGCAAAUACAGGGCAAAUACUUUAUGUACUAAACAGUGUCCAAGUGGACUAGACAUUACUUGGCAACAUUAGAACAACCUUUCAAGAAAUCCAGAGAUACAUAAUAAGAACAGUAACCACUUCCCUUUAAACUAUUCUUAUCGAUAGACAUGCAUAUAAAACUCAGCGUUUCAUUUAAAACCAAAGGCAACAGAUUUCUACUAUUUCCCCGCAUUCUCAGAAAACAAGACUUGAAAAACUACCAAAAUAGCGGCUAGUGACAAAUAUUAAGCUCGCCAGCAAAGUUGUUCCUUUCAUGAAGGGGUCAUAGACGAAAAUGCAGAUCUUCCCCACUUCACAGAAAUCACAAAAAAUAAGGGAUAAAUACCCAAUUUUUUUCUAUUUCUGCCAAAUAUUCUCUUUGUAACAAACCCAACAUCGCAAAUUCAACAAAAAAGAAAAAAUAUCCAGUAUGUAAGUAGAUUUAGACUAAAGAAAAUUGCAUAAACAGGAAACUCCGCAAGAUGAACAAUACAAAAUCUUUGCUUUUCCUUUGAUCUUUUCCAACAAAGGAAACCGAAGGCUGAAUGGUACAAGAAUAUAAAAACGUAUCAUCGAAUUAAAACAGUAAAAGUAAAGAACCAUGCCCCAAUCUGUUAGCAACUAUCCCAACGACCAAAAUCGGACGGAGACGUUUGGCCCGGGAUUGAGAGAAUGAAAAAGAAAUUGAAAAUUGGGCCUUUGAUUUUGAAGGGUCCAACUGUACAAUACGCACGUAUUUAUAGGCUAAUUUGUCGUCAAAAAAACGCAACCGCGUUUUGCGUUUUUCUGUAAAAGAAAGAAAUGCGUUUUUAAUCGUUUGACACUUCAUAUAACAACACUGCCGUUUCCAAACGACAUGUCGUAAUCAGUUCCGAGAUCUAGUUAGGAGAGUUCAAACAUUUACGUUACUGAACGACCGUCUUACAAUGUACUGUUAGAACUGAGUGUAUAAUUAUAAAUGUGACAUCAGAAUGCAAAUAUAAUCUUUUGCCAUAUACUGAUUCAAAGUACUUCCAAGUAUUAUUAUUAAUAAUUAUUAAAAU